rnacentral:lncRNA from 1 species
GUGCGCACUGCGCAUGAUAUCAUGGUCAUGGAGUGGAUGGGGGGCAGGGCCGAUACUGAUCUCGAUUGUCACCCCCGAUGUACGUGCAGGAGGAAGAAGCGGACGGGGGAACGGGGCCCCGUUCCAUUACAACCGCCUCCUUGUAGCCGCUAUUAACCCUCCGUGCUCCUACGAGAAUCAGCCAGAGAGAGAGUGAGAUGGAGACCCACGUCAUCACUCGCUUCAACACAUUCAUGGUGGAAAGUUGGUGCUAAAAAUACGGCAUAAGCUGGUGUUUAUAUAAACGGUAACCAUUUCCUGCAUGGAAGGUUUCAGCAGCCAUCCGCCAGUCGUUGAAAAGAUUCUACUUCACUAUCAGUCCAAUCCCACAAACUAUGAUUGGACCACCGCUUUUCACAGAUUAAUUUAAUAUUUGUAAAAGGACUGAAAACAGAAAGUUACAGAUGUGGAUGGCACUUAUUGCCACGUCAAUAUCGAUUUCAAUCCUAUCCCUUCGAGUCUUGGUUAAAUAUAUCUUACCUCUCAAAAUUUCAAUGUACUCCCUUAUUUAGAAAAAUAAUAAUAAUAAUAAUAAUUUAACCCCUCCCUCAUGACUUGUCUACUUGUCUACUUGUCUUUCAUUUAUUAUUGGCUCUCUUUAUCAAAUUUUAAGAUUACCAUUUUUUCCUAAACCAUAAUCCCAUUUCAAAUUUUUAAGCUCACCAUAUUUUUUUCUACAAGCAUAAAUAUGAGAGCAGACCAAACCCUCUGCUCGACCUUUAAUGUUAUGGUACAAAAUAAAUAUUAACUUAAAAUUUUUACGUGUAUGUGUUUCUAGAAAACACUUAUAGUGUAAAAAUUGUUUCAAGAGAAAAAUUAUAAGUUCGACAAAACUUGAAAAACACUUUUAGAUUAUAUUUUAAAUUUGUUGUAUAUGGAUUAUAAUUGUUAAAAAUAAUUAACCGUUGAAAGUAAAUUUAGCGAUUAUUAAAUUAGAGGAGAUGAUUAUUUAUAUUUGUUUAAAUUUAUCAUUAUUUAGAGAGAGGGUGAAUUUAAGUCACACAAAUCCAAGUUAAGAACAAAAGUUUUUAUUAUUUAGAGGAGAUUAUUAAUUUAUUGAAUGGUUAUUUAUUUAAAUUAAAUUAUUUAUUUAUUGAGAUUUUACAAUAUUAAAAUGGAGAUUGAAAUGGAGAGUCAUAAAUUUAUGGUAUUAAUAAGUUUAUUACUUGAAUUAUAAAUUAUUUUUAAAAAUUAUUAGACUUGAUAAUGAAUUUAUCUUAUUUAAUUUAAGAUUUAUUUGCUUAGUGAAAAAACAAUCAAGAAAUAAUAAUGUUAUAUAGAAGAAAAAAAUUAGAGUUGUUUUAAAUCAAUUUUUGUUCAUAAAUUUAUGAUAUUAAUAAGUUUAUUAUUUAAAUUUUAAAUUAUUUUUAAAAAUUAAUAGAUUUGUUAACAAAUCCAACAUUAAGUUUGAUUUAAUGUGGAGUUAAUUUGUCUAAUAAAAAAAAUCAAAAAUUAACAAUUUCAUGUAAAAGAAAAUAAUAGAGUAUAUGUUUUAUUUUUAUUUUUAAAAAAUUUCGUCCAAUAGGCUUUAGACAGCCAAAAAUGGGUGCGUAGACAUCCUUUCAGCCUUUCUACUUUCUUGAUUGUGUCUUUAUAUGUUUGUCUGUUUUUCCUGGUUUGGAUAGUGUUCACAAUAAUUGUUUUUAUUUUUAUUUUUUUAAGUUUAAAGUAUUUCAGAGUAACCGACCUUGUAAUUUUUUAAGUUUGAAGUAUUGCAGAGAAACCCACUUUUUAUUUGUGUUUAUUUAUUUAUUGGUUUUAAAAUUGCUGACUAAUUUUAAAAAUAAUAAAAUUUAUUUAUUUUAAUGUUAUCAUUGAAUAUACUCUAUUUUAUAUUUAUUGGUUCACGCCUGCACCCCGGGUGACCAUUAGGACAAUUAUGCAUUUUAAUAAAUAACAUGCACCCACAUACACAUAGGAAAAAGUGGGUUUUUGAAAAAACAAACAUAUGAAAAGAGAAGCUCUAACUUUCAGUUAAAGUUGUACGGUUUGAAACCUAUCCUGAUUGAUAGUACAGCCAAAAAUGGGUGCGCAGGGCAGAUGUGAACCACAACCUCUCUCUUUUACUCCAUUUAGGAUAUGUGUUCACCCUUUUAUAUACUUUGUAAGCAAGACUAGUUUAUUUUUUAUUUUUUUGUAGAUGACUUACUGUUGUUGGAUAGAGAUGUAAUUUGCAAUUUUGUGGACAGGAUUCAUCCACAUUUCUCAUCUCAGCCCAAUCCAAACUUAAAUACCCCAAGUUGGAUCAGGACUGCAAUUGCUUAUUUUGACUUGGAUUUGAAUUAACUGCUAUAACCAGCCCAAUUUGCCUCUCAAGGAGGGAUUUAAGCCAUGGCCAGGGGCUUUAGAAUCUUUGGAACCAUAACUAAAUUCAAUUAACCUGAACCCUUAUAUCUUGUUGUACUUAAUUCUGUCUACUCUAGGGCUAGAUUUCUUGAUAAACUAACCUGUUUCAUCCAAUCAACUUCAACAUAACUCACUAACAUGAGUUUAAUUUGAUUUCUUACAGGGUGUUGAUCCAAUGACUUCAAAAGAAUUGAGCGAGAAGCCGUAUGAGGUGAAAAUCUCAUGUGCGGUUCUGUAGAGUGGCAGUAAGGGUGACUUAUUUGUCAACUUUUCCACUAUCACCCCCAAAAAACCAAACUCUGUCUUACGUAAAGUUGUCAGAAUACGAUUAACCUCUGAAUUUGAAAUCACUUCACAGAUACAACCUUUGUAACUUCAUGGUAUACCCAUGAAUUGACUAGUUUCUAUUUGAAAGGUUGCAAUUUCUUAACUGCCAUAGUUUCUACCCUUGCUAAUAGUUUAACACAUUCUUUAUUGUUUCUAUAGGGUCCUGAAGCACAAGGAGAUUUUACUCGUUGAUAUACCAACCUAUUUCAGGGUGUCUUCGAAACAGCUUUGCCGUUUCAGGCUGAUGAUAUUGCAGACCCUAAAUCUAUUAUUGUGAGUAGAGUUUGUUAAGUGCAGCCGUGUAACAACAUUGUUCUUAAAACCUCGGGAUGGAUCACCCAAACGAAGGCUCAUGAUGUUUCACCUACCCUAUCACCAAUUGGUUUCUAGAUAGAAUGGUCGAAACCCGAUCCAAGAGAAUUCAAACCUGAAAAAAAUUCCCAAACUUGAAAUUUGUAUUAACUCCCAAGAAUGAAAUUAUUCUCUCCUGUCUUCUUAAGUUGGACGCCAUCCAUUUCACAUGGAGGAGCAAAGGCCACAAUCAGUGGGCUUUGUUGGUAUUCUUUUACCCCUAAAUAAUGAUGAAGUUUAAAGAGUUUCUCAUUAUGAUCUAGUAUGGGAGCUGAGCGCUUCUUUGGAUCAGGUCUGUUUUGCCUGCCAAAAGCUCAAAAAAAUAAAACGGUAAAGCUAGGUUUGGCUCCCAAAAAUAUUUUAAAAAAUAAAAAUAAAUAAAUAAAUAAUAUAUUUAAAAUAAAAAAAUAAUUUUUAUAUAUUACUUUAAACUUAUUUAACUUAUGUAAUCUUCCAAUAUAAAGAUUAAAUAAUUUAAAAAUAUAUAAUUUUCUUACUGUUAAUUAUAUUCGACUUUCUUUUAUAUUUUCUAUGAUAUGAAAAAAUCAUUUUUCUUAUAUUUAUUUUCACUACUUUCCAUCCUAAAUCUGAUCUAAUACCCUCUAUAGACUAUCUCUUGAGCUAAGAAAAUUAAACUACAAUAUUAGAACACACUGCUCCAAUUUCAACCAAUUUAUAUCAGUUCAAUUAAUAAACAGAUUGGUCAACCAAUUGAUUCAAUUUAUUUUAUAAUUUAGGCAGUAUUCUUUUGAAGAAUUUCAAGCCAGGAUGUUGUCAAUCUUAAGAUUUUAUAAUAUUGACAGUGAUCUUUUCACACAAACUCAAGAUUGACUUUAGAUAACUGAUAACAAGUAAUGGAUAUUGAGACACUGUUCAAAUAUCAGCAGCUUCAGAAGUUGGCAUCUUGAAAAUCACCUUCAUGCAAUAGUCUAAACUUCAAAAUCCUCUGGAGAUCAGCAAUCGGUUUAGGAAACAUGGCCAAAUAGGUCCUAACCGCCUUCUUCAUCCAAACCCGAAGCUAGUAAUUUAUACACGAUUGGAGGAAUGCAGAGUAAACAUGAAAAAUGGGCAGAGCACGUGAUAAAGGGGUGUAGAUGAGAGCACACAUGAUAAUCAUGUUGAGGUAGUUGAGGCAUGCGCACAAGGUAUGGGAUUGCUACAUCUUUUAUAUAUAUACUAGGCCCAGGAAUUUGACUUCAAGUAUAUACUUAGCCUUAGUUUAGGGGUAAUCUUUUUACAUAUGUCAUCAGUUUUGAAAGGAUUCAGACCCCUUCUAUACCUGGCUUAGGAAAGGAGUACGUAGGAAAGACUGAAAGAAAAGAAAAAUCUAUACCCAACUCUGCAUCUAGACCAGGUACAGAAUCAUUAUAAAGGUGUAAAGUAAUCUACCUCAACAAUUUCAAUAUGGGACCAAACAUACCAUGAAUGACCCACCUAGCACUCUAGCAGCAACAUACAAACAGGAGAUAAUGACAGUAUAGAUUGCUCCUGGGCUUGAGAAAUAUUGUCUGUCAAUAUUCCAUUUAACAAAAUUAAGAGACUUAUUAAAUAUACCCAUUUACCAAAAGUGGGUUAUAAUACCUUGAUUUGGAAAUAAAUGUGAAAUAGGAAAUCAUAUUUUAAUAAUCCAAAAUACAUAAUAUCAUUUCAAAAUAUUUCAUAUUGGAUGCACUAAGAGCUUAGGUGUCUUUAAGUUUCAAUAAUACCCUCCCUAACAAUGGUCUGACAAAAGGAAUCACAAAAGAUAAGUGAAUGGAUGGAAAUGGAGUUUUUUUUUUCGUCAGGAAAAAGAGAAAGAAAUUAUGGGAAUGUGGGAGAGUGGACUGAGAAAAUGCCUUGAGAAGCACAGAAAUUCUGAAAAUUGGAAUCGAUUAUCGGGUACUCGCAUUCAAGAGAUUUCAUCGAACCCAUCUCUCUCAGUGUCACGUUCAAGCUUAAGAAAGUGUUGGAUUAAUUCGAGGAAAUCCACAGCCUCCAAUACUCACUGAUUGCAACUGUUUUCAUACCUUUCUCAUUAACAUGAAAGACUUAAAUACAACUGAAAAUAACAACUGACUCAAUCCACGACGCUGAUGCUGAUAUUCAGCUAACAACCCAACCUAAAGACCUAUUCUUAAGCCAAAAUACUUGGCUGUGAAUUAACGGAUGAUGCCCACGUACAAUUAUUGGACCCAAACAAUUAAAUUAAUCAACUCAACAUGACUCUGACUCAACCAAAUUAAAUAAUAAGCAACCAACAAAUUAAAUAAUAAGCAUUACACAACUGGGCCCAAGUGCACAUGACACUCAGCUCCACUACAGAGAGGUCCUCGUGCACGUUUUACCUUAAAGAGUUCUCUUCUAAAAGCUAAAUCAACGUCGUUUGCAUUUUCUGACUGUUUUUUCCCAGUGUUUUCUUCUAAUUUUUGUCUUUAUUUCUCCUCCGUCAAUCCCACAUUCCCAAGAAAAAGAUCAAACAAUAAUCCUCGAUAAUUGCCAAGAAAAAAAAGAUGAAACAUUGAUUUCAUAAAGCAAAAGAAACAUAUCAAGACAAAUCAAUAUGGAUUAAAGGGUAAAAUUAAUGCUCCAGCUUUCCGCUUACUUCUGCCACUCUCCCAGCAACCAAACAGAAAUCCCAAAAACCCAUAACACAAAUUGUGAAAAAAAAAAAAACAAUUGCCCAAGAAACAAUAGCAAGAACGUCACCGACAAUUAGGGUAAAAAUCAGACCAAAUCCAGAACGAAACAAACCGGAAAAGUUUAGAAAAAUUCUGGGGAAUUAAGGAAUGGGAAAGGGGCAAGCAACCCAUAAAAUGAAAGGAAUUACCUAAGGGCAGUAGAAAAAACGAAAAGGAUCUCAAAACAUAACAAAAGAGGAAAAACAAAAUCCUUUUAAGAAAAUUUUGACUAUUAUUUUCUGGGUAACCAAAUGGAAAACCCAAGAGAGAGAGAGAGCGCUUACCUAGGGUUCCGGGUUUUUCAGAGGGUGAGGUGAGAGCCAUUGUCGGCGCCAGUGGAAACCAGAGGGGAGAGGACGAAGGUUACCUCUUAUUUUCUUUUUCUUGAUCAAUUUUUCAUUUUUUUCUGAUACGAAAAAAGGAAAAAAAAUUUACUGGGCGGAGAUGGUGGCCAUAUCCGAUUCCACCGUCCUUCACAAAUCGUAUGAAGAAAAAGAAAAAAGAAGACAAAUUACAACAGAAAUUCGAAGCUCAAGGCCUGCAAAAUUGCAGAUCUAGAAACGCCGAUCUCAACUUUGGUACAAUCAGAAGGUAGAAAUCAACCAAAAGAGAAUAACAGAGAAAAGAAAACUAAGGAAAAUUUUGCAUAUCUGUAUACAUGUUGAGAGAGGGAAAAGAUGGACGCAGCCUCCAAUUCACGGCCAGCAUCACCUUUUCCUUGAUGGAUCUACCUUGCCUACUCAAAUUUUUGGAAGAAAUUCAACCGAACAAGGAAACCCUCAGAUCUCCGGAGGAAGCACUCCCGUCCCCAACUCCAGCUGCCGAGAAAAGGCUCACAGCACCCUUUAUAUAUAUUUGGUUGGGGAAAUAAUCCCAAAGAAAAUAUAAUCCUUCUUUUCAUUUAAAAAAAAAAAAAAAAAAACCAUUUUUUUAUAAAAGCAUGUAUACAUAUUUUUUUAAUACCACGCAUUUCUGGCGCGUUGAAAUCACUUGCGUAAUUGAUCAUACGAGACAACAAAACAAAUUUGAAAC